GAAAUGCGAUAAGUUAUGUGAAUGGCAGAAUUCAGUGAAUCAUCGAAGCUUUGAACGCACCUUGCGCUCCUUUGUAUUCCGAGGAGCGUGCCUGUUUGAGUGUCUUGUAACGCUCAAACCCAAGUUUUGGAUUUCGAUCCAUGCUUGAGUUUGGAUGUGGAUGUUUGCCGGUGAUGAACCGACUCAUCUUAAAAGUAUUAGCUUGGAUCUGUCUAUAUGACUGGUUUGACUUGGCAUAAUAAGUAUUUUGCUGAGGACAUCUUCGGAUGGCCAGGACCUAGACUACUGUCUGCUAACUAAACCAUCACUUUGAGUGCAUUUUUGGAUGUUACUCAUCGUGUAACUUUGACAUCUGGCCUCAAAUCAAGUAGGACUACCCGCUCAACUUAA
rnacentral:misc_RNA from 1 species